rnacentral:rRNA from 1 species
GAUGAACGCUGGCGGCGUGCCUAACACAUGCAAGUCGAGCGAAGCACUUUGCUUAGAUUCUUCGGAUGAAGAGGGUUGUGACUGAGCGGCGGACGGGUGAGUAACGCGUGGGUAACCUGCCUCAUACAGGGGGAUAACAGUUAGAAAUGACUGCUAAUACCGCAUAAGACCACAGCGCCGCAUGGUGCGGGGGUAAAAACUCCGGUGGUAUGAGAUGGACCCGCGUCUGAUUAGCUAGUUGGUAAGGUAACGGCUUACCAAGGCGACGAUCAGUAGCCGACCUGAGAGGGUGACCGGCCACAUUGGGACUGAGACACGGCCCAAACUCCUACGGGAGGCAGCAGUGGGGAAUAUUGCACAAUGGGGGAAACCCUGAUGCAGCGACGCCGCGUGAGCGAAGAAAUAUUUCGGUAUGUAAAGCUCUAUCAGCAGGGAAGAAAAUGACGGUACCUGACUAAGAAGCACCGGCUAAAUACGUGCCAGCAGCCGCGGUAAUACGUAUGGUGCAAGCGUUAUCCGGAUUUACUGGGUGUAAAGGGAGCGUAGACGGAUGGGCAAGUCUGAUGUGAAAACCCGGGGCUCAACCCCGGGACUGCAUUGGAAACUGUUCAUCUAGAGUGCUGGAGAGGUAAGUGGAAUUCCUAGUGUAGCGGUGAAAUGCGUAGAUAUUAGGAGGAACACCAGUGGCGAAGGCGGCU